GGAGAGGUGGCAGAGUGGUCGAAUGCGGCGAACUCGAAAUUCGUUGAAGGGUGACUUUCCGUGGGUUCGAAUCCCACCCUCUCCG
rnacentral:tRNA from 17 species